rnacentral:rRNA from 1 species
GCAUAUCAAUAAGCGGAGGAAAAGAAAAUAACAAUGAUUCCCCUAGUAACUGCGAGUGAAGAGGGACAAGCUCAAAUUUUAAAUCUAUCGGGUUUUACCUGAUCGAGUUGUAAUUUGAAGAUGGCGUUUUCUGUGUUUCUGAUCAGUCCAAGUCCUUUGGGAUAAGGCAUCAUGGAGGGUGAGAAUCCCGUUCGGUUGAUCAGAUUCGCUUUACGAUACGUUAUCAAAGAGUCAAGUUGUUUGGGAUUGCAGCUUAAAAUGGGAGGUAAAUUUCUCCUAAGGCUAAAUAACGGCGAGAGACCGAUAGCGAACAAGUACCGUGAGGGAAAGAUGAAAAGAACUUUGAAAAGAGAGUUAAACAGUACGUGAAAUUGUUGAAAGGGAAACGAUUGAAGCCAGUCGUACCUUCGGGUAAUCAGCCUUUUGGGUGUGAUUUUGUGGAGCGUGAAGAGUUAAACGCCUUCAUGCCUGCAUAUUCGUGCACUUUGGGUGUACUUGCCCGUAUGGUUGGUUAACAUCAAUUUUGGUGGUCAUAAAAUGACUGGAGGAAUGUAGCUUCGAUCUUGUAUUGAAGUGUUAUAGCCUUCGGUAGAUGUGAUGAUCGAGAUUGAGGAUUGCAACGGAUACCCUUCGGGGCUACCUGUCUGGUCUCUGAUCG